CAGACAUCUGGUUCAAGUUCUUACUGGACCCCCUACAGCGGGCCAGUGUUUCAGUAGCCAGGUUCUGGUUGUUAC